rnacentral:rRNA from 1 species
UGGGGAAUUUCUCGCAAUGGGGGCAACCCUGACGAAGCAACGCCGCGUGGAGGAUGAAGGCCCUAGUGGUUGUAAACUCCUGUCUAGCGGGACGAAAGUAUUGUAGUCGAAUAGAUUGCGAUAUUGACUGUACUGCUGGAGGAAGCUCCGGCUAACUCCGUGCCAGCAGCCGCGGUAAUACGGAGGGAGCAAGCGUUACUCGGAAUUAUUGGGCGUAAAGGGCGCGUAGGCGAUUUGACAAGUCACUUGUGAAAGCCCAGGGCUUAACUCUGGAAGUGCAAGUGAGACUGUUGAAUUUGAGUAUAGGAGAGGAAGGCAGAAUUCCCGGUGUAGCGGUGAAAUGCGUAGAUAUCGGGAGGAAUACCAGCGGCGAAGGCGGCCUUCUGGACUAUAACUGACGCUGAGGCGCGAAAGCUAGGGGAGCGAACGG